rnacentral:rRNA from 1 species
GAUGAACGCUGGCGGCGUGCCUAAUACAUGCAAGUCGAGCGAACAGACGAGGAGCUUGCUCCCCUGACGUUGGCGGCGGACGGGUGAGUAACACGUGGAUAACCUACCUAUAAGACUGGGAUAACUUCGGGAAACCUGAGCUAAUACCGGAUAAUAUAUUGAACGGCGUGGUUCAAUAGUGAAAGACGGUUUUGCUGUCACUUAUAGAGGGAUCCGCGCCGCAUUAGCUAGUUGGUAAGGUAACGGCUUACCAAGGCAACGAUGCGUAGCCGACCUGAGAGGGUGAUCAGCCACACUGGAACUGAGACACGGUCCAGACUCCUACGGGAGGCAGCAGUAGGGAAUCUUCCGCAAUGGGCGAAAGCCUGACGGAGCAACGCCGCGUGAGUGAUGAAGGUCUUCGGAUCGUAAAACUCUGUUAUUAGGGAAGAACAGAUGUGUAAGUAACUAUGCACGUGUUGACGGUACCUAAUCAGAAAGCCACGGCUAACUACGUG